rnacentral:rRNA from 1 species
AACAAACGCUGGCGGCAUGCCUAACACAUGCAAGUCGAACGAGACCUUCGGGUCUAGUGGCGCACGGGUGCGUAACGCGUGGGAACCUGCCCUUAGGUUCGGAAUAACUCCCCGAAAGGGGUGCUAAUACCGGAUAAUGUCUUCGGACCAAAGAUUUAUCGCCUUUGGAUGGGCCCGCGUUGGAUUAGCUAGUUGGUAGGGUAAAAGCCUACCAAGGCGACGAUCCAUAGCUGGUCUGAGAGGAUGAUCAGCCACACUGGGACUGAGACACGGCCCAGACUCCUACGGGAGGCAGCAGUGGGGAAUAUUGGACAAUGGGCGAAAGCCUGAUCCAGCAAUGCCGCGUGAGUGAUGAAGGCCUUAGGGUUGUAAAGCUCUUUUACCCGGGAUGAUAAUGACAGUACCGGGAGAAUAAGCCCCGGCUAACUCCGUG